rnacentral:rRNA from 1 species
CUGAAACUCGCCUGCAUGAAGUCGGAAUUGCUAGUAAUCGCAGAUCAGCAUGCUGCGGUGAAUACGUUCCCGGGCCUUGUACACACCGCCCGUCACACCAUGGGAGUCGGUAACACCCGAAGCCUGUAGUCUAACCGCAAGGAGGACGCAGUCGAAGGUGGGAUUGAUGACUGGGGUGAAGUCGUAACAAGGUAGC